rnacentral:rRNA from 1 species
CCUACGGGAGGCAGCAGUGGGGAAUAUUGCACAAUGGGGGAAACCCUGAUGCAGCGACGCCGCGUGAGUGAAGAAGUAUUUCGGUAUGUAAAGCUCUAUCAGCAGGGAAGAAACUGACGGUACCUGACUAAGAAGCCCCGGCUAACUACGUGCCAGCAGCCGCGGUAAUACGUAGGGGGCAAGCGUUAUCCGGAUUUACUGGGUGUAAAGGGGGCGUCGACGGGGCGGCAAGGCUGAAGGGAAAGGCAGGGGCUUAACCCCUGAACUGCUUUGGAAACGUCCAUGCUAGAGUGCUGGAGAGGUAAGUGGAAUUCGUGGUGUAGCGGUGAAAUGCGUAGAUAUUAGGAAGAACACCAGUGGCGAAGGCGGCUUACCGGACAGUAACUGACGUUGAGGCUCGAAAGCGUGGGGAGCAAACAGGAGUAGAUACCCUUGUAGUC